CUCAUAUCACAUCUCACCCAGUCAUAGUGACCUUGUUUCUGUCCCUUCUACAGAAGGCAGCUCCCUCAGGGAGCUUAUGUACUCCUUCUUUGUUCCCCAAUGUUGUUCCCCCAAUCCUAGUUUGUUUGUCUUUUCUCUCCAUUCAAAUGCCAGCUCAAAAGAAACUAAAGAGGCACCAGUUCAACCCAAUUGGACGGAGAGAGAUGUUAAACCACAUCCAAAAGGAACACCUCCCAGGAAGCUUUCCCUCAGAGUUCUCCAAAUAGUCCUCCCUCCAAUCUGCUCUCCGUCUGUUGGUGGGACUCACUCUGCCACCUGUGGAGGAUGUCUUUGAACGUGUUUUGAAAUGUGAUUUCCCUGCGGGAAGAAAUGAUACUUAUGGAAUUUGUGGACGACAGAGAACACUGAAGAUCAUCUACUGUUGGCUCCACACCCUGAAGCUCUCUGCGCCAUUUUCCAAGCAAGCGGUAGAUGGUUAAUUAUUUACUUGUUCCACGGACUCCUGAAGGACUUGGGCGAAGAGAGAAAUACAUUUCAGUGUUGUUUGCUCUAAGCACUGUAGUCUGAAAGUUUUGCACAGGUUUAUAACUGUAAUUCUAUUUUCUUAAAACAAACAAGCAAACAAACAUGUUAUUUCUUGCAGAAACAAGAUUUGCAGAGAAACACCCCAAAUUGGUAUGCAAGCCAGGUCUGAGGAAAAAGUAGGGCAGGCUGAGAUGCCACAGAAGGAACUGAACUAGCAUUAAUUUUUCUAUUUUCAUUCUUUCUGUUUCGGAGUUGAUGUUUGGACAGGACUGCGAAUACAAAAGACACAAGGGAUUCUGCAGUGAGAAGGCAAGAAAUGAGCACUGCACAAAUGCUGGCAGUCCAGAUUGAAGAUGCUCCCUAAUGUCUCUGUGCAUCCAUCCCCACCUGUACAAAUGAUGCAUUUUCCUAGCAAGGAGGACUUCAGGCACUCUGCACCUCAGCUUGCUUUGUGUUCUGACUACAUUAGAAGGUGAGAAGACAUUAAAUUUGCCUUAUGCAAUGCCACAUUUAACUGAAAUGAACAGUUUGCAAAAAGGAACAGCCACUUGCAUGAAGAUACAAUAGGCCACUGGAAGGAGCUGUCAGAUGAGGACUAGCCUUCAGCCUCCCAGAAUGCACUCCUCCCACGGAAGUACACCCCAGUCUACUGGAAGAUCAUCAAUUGAGCCUGGCCUAUUUUUCAUUUUGCCUCAUAAAACCAACCUUCCAGCCCUUCACUCAUGUUAAUUCUCUUUCAGCUCAUCUCUAAGGGUUCGACAUAGCAGAAGAGAAUGUAACGUUUCAAUAAAACAUAAAAUAAUCGGCUCAUUUAUUCAUCAAGA